rnacentral:rRNA from 1 species
GACGAACGCUGGCGGCGUGCUUAACACAUGCAAGUCGAACGGAAAGGCCCUGCUUGCAGGGUACUCGAGUGGCGAACGGGUGAGUAACACGUGGGUGAUCUGCCCUGCACUUCGGGAUAAGCCUGGGAAACUGGGUCUAAUACCGGAUAGGAGCCAUUUUUAGUGUGAUGGUUGGAAAGUUUUUUCGGUGUAGGAUGAGCUCGCGGCCUAUCAGCUUGUUGGUGGGGUAAUGGCCUACCAAGGCGGCGACGGGUAGCCGGCCUGAGAGGGUGGACGGCCACAGUGGGAAUGGGAGACGUCCGAGACUCCUACGGGAGGCAGCAGUGGGGGAGGGUGCACAAUGGGCGCAAGCUUGAUGCUGCGCCGCCGCGUGGGGGAUGACGGCGUGCGGGUUGUAAAAGCCUUACGCUGGGGACGAAGCUUUUUGUGACGGUACCUAGAUAAGAAGCACCGGCUAACUACGUG